GCCUGGCUCAUUUGGUAGAGCGUGUGACUCUUCAUCUCAGGGCUGUGAGUUCGAACCCCACAUUGGGCA
rnacentral:tRNA from 1 species